rnacentral:lncRNA from 1 species
AUCCAAAACCACUUGGCUCUCAUUCUUGGUAACAGAGCAGGAGAUCUAUCCUCCGUUGCUCAAAUUAGCAAACUGAGGGUAGGGCAGGUCUAUGCAGCAUCAGUGAUGUAUGGUUACUUUCUUAAGCGAGUUGACCAAAGGUUCCAGCUGGAGAAGUCGAUGAAAGUUCUUACAAGUGCAUCAGACGAUAGUAGUAUUCAUCAAACUAUUGUGGAUGAUGCAAGACCUGGUAGUGAAGUGGACACUUCCCAAGUGACAUCUCAUCCUGAAGUAUCUACUUGGCCUGGCGGCGAUGUCAGUCCUGGUGGAUUUGGC